GUGGGGAAUAUUGGGCAAUGGGCGAAAGCCUGACCCAGCAACGCCGCGUGAAGGAAGAAGGUUUUCGGAUUGUAAACUUCUGUCCUCAGGGAAGAAGGAAGUGACGGUACCUGAGGAGGAAGCCCCGGCUAACUACGUGCCAGCAGCCGCGGUAAUACGUAGGGGGCGAGCGUUGUCCGGAAUGACUGGGCGUAAAGGGCGCGUAGACGGCUGUCUAAGUCUGGAGUGAAAGUCCUGCUUUCAAGGUGGGAAUUGCUUUGGAGACUGGAUGGCUUGAGUGCGGAAGAGGUAAGUGGAAUUCCCAGUGUAGCGGUGAAAUGCGUAGAGAUUGGGAGGAACACCAGUGGCGAAGGCGACUUACUGGGCCGUAACUGACGCUGAUGCGCGAAAGCGUGGGGAGCGAACAGGAUUAGAUACCCGAGUAGUCC
rnacentral:rRNA from 1 species